AGAGUUUGAUCCUGGCUCAGAAUCAACGCUGGCGGCGUGCCUAACACAUGCAAGUCGAACGCGAAAGCCCCGCAAGGGGUCAGUAGAGUGGCAAACGGGUGAGUAACACGUGGGUGAUCUGCCUCAGAGUGGGGGAUAACGACCCGAAAGGGUCGCUAAUACCGCAUAACAUCCUGCCUUUGGAUAGGUGGAGAUCAAAGCUAGGGAUCGCAAGACCUGGCGCUUGGAGAGGAGCCCGCGGCCGAUUAGCUAGUUGGUGAGGUAAUGGCUCACCAAGGCAACGAUCGGUAUCCGGCCUGAGAGGGCGGACGGACACACUGGGACUGAGACACGGCCCAGACUCCUACGGGAGGCAGCAGUGGGGAAUUGUUCGCAAUGGGCGAAAGCCUGACGACGCAACGCCGCGUGGAGGACGAAGAUCUUCGGGUCGUAAACUCCUUUCGAUCGGGAAGAAUGGCUUCCGGGUUAAUAGCCCGGAGGAAUGACGGUACCGAGAGAAGAAGCCCCGGCUAACUCUGUGCCAGCAGCCGCGGUAAUAC
rnacentral:rRNA from 1 species